rnacentral:rRNA from 1 species
UGGGGAAUAUUGCACAAUGGGCGCAAGCCUGAUGCAGCCAUGCCGCGUGUGUGAAGAAGGCCUUCGGGUUGUAAAGCACUUUCAGCGAGGAGGAAGGUGGUGAACUUAAUACGUUCAUCAAUUGACGUUACUCGCAGAAGAAGCACCGGCUAACUCCGUGCCAGCAGCCGCGGUAAUACGGAGGGUGCAAGCGUUAAUCGGAAUUACUGGGCGUAAAGCGCACGCAGGCGGUUUGUUAAGUCAGAUGUGAAAUCCCCGGGCUCAACCUGGGAACUGCAUUUGAAACUGGCAAGCUAGAGUCUCGUAGAGGGGGGUAGAAUUCCAGGUGUAGCGGUGAAAUGCGUAGAGAUCUGGAGGAAUACCGGUGGCGAAGGCGGCCCCCUGGACGAAGACUGACGCUCAGGUGCGAAAGCGUGGGGAGCAAACAGAUUAGAUACCCUGGUAGUCCACGCUGUAAAACGAUGUCGAUUUUGGAGGUUGUGCCCCUUGAGGCGUGGNUUCCGGAGCUAACG